rnacentral:rRNA from 1 species
UACGGAGGAGGCAAGCGUUAUCCGGAAUUAUUGGGCGUAAAGUGUCCGCAGGUGGCACUUCAAGUCUGUCGUCAAAGACUGGGGCUUAACCCUGGAAAGGCGGUGGAAACUGAAGCGCUAGAGUGCGGUAGGGGUAGAGGGAAUUCCCGGUGUAGCGGUGAAAUGCGUAGAGAUCGGGAAGAACAUCGGUGGCGAAAGCGCUCUACUGGACGGUAUCUGACACUGAGGGACGAAAGCUAGGGGAGCGAAUGGG